CCGCUCCCGCCCCAUUAGGGGCGGGUAUGCGGGUUUGCGGGUAAAAUUGCCAUCCCUACCCGCACCCGCCCCCGCGCACCUAUGCAAUCUAGGUUGAGCGUGAACCAAAUUUUCCCCAUUCUGCAAGUUCUAAAACAAAAAAACACCAAGCACACAAGUCAUCCCAACAGUGUCCACAACCAUUCACGUCAGAGAAGGUUGAGCAGAGACGAUGAUGAGAUGGUGUCGAGCGGUCUUUUGUUUUGUUUGAAUGUAUAUUUCGAGACGCAUGUCUUUAACAUGCCUCUCUAGCCAGUCUUCCGCUUCGAACACUUAUUUUGUGUAAAGAUCACAAUAGGUCUUCUCUAUUGUGAUUCUCUUAUGUAAAUUACAUCUUUGGCUUGUGAAAUCCUUUCAAGUUUAUAAAGAGUGACUUCUUUAUACAUUAAAAUUUUCUUU